GUACACGCUGUGACUAGCAUAUCAAUAAGUGGAGGAAAAGAAACUAACAAGGAUUCCCCUAGUAACGGCGAGUGAAGCGGGAAGAGCUCAAAUUUGAAAUCUUCAAGGUUCUACCUUGACGAAUUGUAGUUUAAAGAAGUGUUUUCUGUUAGUGGAGUGGCAAAAGUUCUUUGGAAUAGGACAUCAUAGAGGGUGAGAAUCCCGUAUUUGGUCAUUCCUUCUAGCUUUGUGAUACACUUUCAAAGAGUCGGAUUGUUUGGGAAUGCAGUCCAAAAUGGGUGGUAAAUUUCAUCUAAAGCUAAAUAUUGGCGAGAGACCGAUAGCGAACAAGUACCGUGAGGGAAAGAUGAAAAGAACUUUGAAAAGAGAGUUAAACAGUACGUGAAAUUGUCAAAAGGGAAGCGUUUGACACCAGUGUUGUUUUUCUGAAAAUCAAUUAAAGAACUGUUUAUGCUAAGCUGUUUAGACUUUAUCAGCUAUCUGUUUAGUUUUGAGCUUUUCUUUAAUGCACUUUUCAGUUAACAAGUCAACAUCAAUUUCUUUUGCUGUAAAAAAGCUUGAGGAAGGUGGCUUGAGAUUCGUCUUAAGUGUUUAUAGCCUCUUGCCUAUGCAGUCGGAGAGAUUGAGGUCUGCAGCGUAGAUCCUUCGGGGCUAAAUGCAUUUGUGCUAAGUUAUAGCAUUUUAUAGACAACUUGUUGACUAUGAUUUGUCUUGUAGCUUACUCGCUUAUGUUAUUUUACCUACGCUUAGGAUGUUGACACACGCGCGUGCUCG
rnacentral:rRNA from 1 species